AACGGGGGAUGCAAGCGUUAUCCGGAAUCACUGGGCGUAAAGCGUCUGUAGGUGGUGAAGCAAGUCACUGGUGCAAAACUCUGGCUCAACCGGAGGAAAGCCAGUGAAACUGCAUGACUAGAGUGUGGGAGAGGUAGAAGGAAUUCCCUGAGUAGCGGUGAAAUGCGUAGAUACAGGGAAGAACACCGGAGGAGAAAGCGUUCUACUGGAACACAACUGACACUGAGAGACGAAAGCUAGGGGAGCGAAUGGG
rnacentral:rRNA from 1 species